rnacentral:rRNA from 1 species
UUGCACCGGGUGGAUGAGUGGCGAACGGGUGAGUAACACGUGAGUAACCUGCCCCUGACUUCGGGAUAAGCCCGGGAAACUGGGUCUAAUACCGGAUACGACUGCCGGACGCAUGUCUGGUGGUGGAAAGUUUUUUCGGUUGGGGAUGGGCUCGCGGCCUAUCAGUUUGUUGGUGAGGUAAUGGCUCACCAAGACGACGACGGGUAGCCGGCCUGAGAGGGCGACCGGCCACACUGGGACUGAGACACGGCCCAGACUCCUACGGGAGGCAGCAGUGGGGAAUAUUGCACAAUGGGGGAAACCCUGAUGCAGCGACGCAGCGUGCGGGAUGACGGCCUUCGGGUUGUAAACCGCUUUCAGCAGGGAAGAAGCGCAAGUGACGGUACCUGCAGAAGAAGUACCGGCUAACUACGUGCCAGCAGCCGCGGUAAUACGUAGGGUACGAGCGUUGUCCGGAAUUAUUGGGCGUAAAGAGCUCGUAGGUGGUUGGUCACGUCUGCUGUGGAAACGCAACGCUUAACGUUGCGCGUGCAGUGGGUACGGGCUGACUACAGUGCAGUAGGGGAGUCUGGAAUUCCUGGUGUAGCGGUGAAAUGCGCAGAUAUCAGGAGGAACACCGGUGGCGAAGGCGGGACUCUGGGCUGUAACUGACACUGAG